ensembl:lncRNA
UUUUUUUUUUUUUUUUUCAGAUGGAGUUUCGCUGUGUCACCCAGGCUGGAGUGCAAUGGCGUGAUCUCCACCUCCCAGGUUCUAGCAAUUCUUGAGCCUCAGCCUCCCAAGUAGCUGGGAUUCCAGGUCACCACGCUCGGCUGAUUUUUGUAGUUUUAGUAGAGACAGGGUUUCACCAUGUGACCCAGGCUAGUCCCAAACUCCAGACCUCACACGAUCUGCCUGUCUUGGCCUCCUAGUGCUGAGCUGACAGGCGUGAGCCCCCGUACCCAGCGAGCCCCUCUUAUUGGAAAGACAUAUAAGAUCCCAUUCAGGGCCCACCUGGAUAAUCUCCUCUCAGCACCCUUAACUGAAUCACAUCAUGUGCUACAUGAGACACAAAGGUUCCGGGAACACAGACAUGGACAUAUCUUUGGGGAGCCACCACUGAGGAGGGGACAAGAGUGCACCAACCCCUUGGAAGAUAAUCUAGCCACACUUAGUGACAUUAGGGGUACUUGUGUCCCCUCCUGGGCAGACUGCCCAGAGAGAUUUCUCACACAGAAGAAGACCAGGUACCAUCUGAACAGGAGUGUAUCUGGAGAUGGGGUGGGAGGAGGCCGCAGACCGGGUAAGCUCAGUGCUGCGGGACAGGAAGACACCCCCAAACAAGAAUCCUUGCCACAGGCUCUGCUCCGGGGGAACUGACAGGAGACCAGGACCUAGAGCAAACCCUGGGAAAGGUGCCCAGCUCACCCUGCAUUCGAGUCCUGCCAGGGAACACGGCAACGAAGGGUGUGAUGGCCCCAAGUGGAUUUCACAGCACCGGGGAAUCCGAGAGGUUCCGUCCAAUUGCCGGAUCCCGGCACCAGGAGCACGGGCCCUGGUUUUUCCUCCAGGUCCCAAGGCCAGCAGGGUUUCUCCUUCGAUGGUCCUUCUGUCUGUCCUCCAGGGCUCCCUCCUCCUCUCCCCCAGCACAGCAGGCUGCCCCAGCUGCCUGCCUCCUUCACUGGGUGCCCCCCCCGCACCCCUGUACCCCCAGGUGGGAGGACUACUGGACGGCCAGCGGCCAAACCUAUGCGUGUGACCUGCAGUGUAUUUCACCGCAGUAGGUGAAACCUGAGAACCGCGGGGGCAAAGGUAGAACUUUUUUUUUUUCCUUUCAUGUCUAGUCCUGCAGAGAGGACUUUUAUUUACUAAGUGAAAUCAUUUUUCCCUCUCAAGCUCUAAGUCUUUUUGAUUCAGCCAACUGAAUCCAGACAUUUCCAGUCAAUGGCCCCCAUGGUUCUGGCUGGUUCAUUCAUUCAUUCAUUCAUUCAUUCCACGGAUAACUCACUAAGCACACACCACAGGUCAGGCACUGCUCCAGACACCAAGAAUACAGCAGUGAACGCACAGGCAAAUGUCCCUGCUCUCCUGGAUCCACAAGAGGGCACGACCCAGGAAACACGUUUCAGAGCCACAUUACCUGAGCCUCCAAAAGGUUGAGAAAUGCUGUGUAGCUAAUACACCCCGAAAUGCCUGCACCAAGUGAGCGCAUCUGUGUACCUUUGCUCCAGCACACACACGUAAGUGGGUGUAAAUGUGAGCGAUUUCUGUAGCCCUGAAAGCCCAUUGUAGAAGCUGAAGUUUGUUUAAAAUAAAAAAAAAAUUAACAGUGCCCGGGGCGGGGCGGGGAGUGUCGGGCACGGUGGCUCACGUCUGUAUUCCCAACACUUUGGGAGGCUGAGGUGGGCAGAUCACCUGAUGUCAGGAGAUGGAGACCAGCUCUGGCCAACAUGGCAAAACCCCAUCUC